rnacentral:sRNA from 1 species
AACGAGAAAGCGGGGGCAACCCUGUGAGUACAGUGGUUUAUCGGUGAGUAACACAGAAGAACAACCUACCCUCGAGUGGGGAAUAACACCGCGAAAGCGGUGCUAAUACCGCAUAACAUCCGAUGGUCGCAUGACUGACGGAUCAAGAGCGCAAGUUGCUUGAGGAGGGGUUCGCGGCUGAUUAGCUAGUAGGUGAGGUAACGGCCCACCUAGGCGACGAUCAGUAGCCGGCCUGAGAGGGUGAACGGCCACACUGGAGCUGAGACACGGUCCAGACUCCUACGGGAGGCAGCAGUGGGACUCCUACGGGAGGCAGCAGUGGGACUCCUACGGGAGGCAGCAGUGGG